rnacentral:lncRNA from 7 species
CUAGAUUCCAGAUGCAAACCCUCUCGUAACAUGAAUGUUUACAAAAUGUUAUUAUGCUCUCCUGCAUCUGAUAUCUACAUUUCAGUUAUUAUGCUCUCCCGCAUCUGAUAUAUACAUAUCAGCAUAAUUGAACUGAUUACAUUCUGAUAUUGACCUGCAUUUCAUAUUUACACAAACCGUAUCGUAAAUCAGUUUCAGCUUAUAGUAACUCAAUUGUUUCAUAUAUCGAAACACAAAUCAGCGUAAAUUCAAUGUUAAUUUAGCGUAAGUCAUUUAGUGCCAGUACACAAAAAGAGCCCAGGUGUGGUAUGCAUAACUAAUCGUCAUUUGUGGUGUGUAGGUUGUCGUGGCUUACUAUAUUAAUUUGCUAUUGCAUAUGUGCAGAAUUGUUUUUGGUCCAAAAGAUUGUAUUUAUAUGUUUAUAUGUUUCUGUG